rnacentral:rRNA from 1 species
UUGGAGGGAAGUUGGUGCCAGCAGCCGCGGUAAUUCCAGCUCCAAUAGCGUAUAUUAAAGUUGUUGCAGUUAAAAAGCUCGUAGUUGAACCUUGGGCCUGGCUGGCCGGUCCGCCUCACCGCGUGUACUGGUCCGGCCGGGCCUUUCCUUCUGGGGAACCUCAUGCCCUUCACUGGGCGUGUUGGGGAACCAGGACUUUACUUGAAAAAAUUGAGUGUUCAAAGCAGGCCUUUGCUCGAAUACAUUAGCAUGGAAUAUAGAAUAGGACGUGUGGUUCUAUUUUG